GUCCACACGGUAACGAUGGAUACUCGCUGUUGGCGAUAUACGGUCAGCGGCUUAGCGAAAGCGUUAAGUAUCCCACCUGGGGAGUACGCCGGCAACGGUGAACUCAAAGGAAUUGACGGGGCCCGGCACAAGCGGAGGAACAUGUGGUUUAAUUCGAUGAUACGCGAGGAACCUUACCCGGGCUUAAAUUGCAAAGGAAUGAUCUGGAAACAGGUCAGUCUUCGGACCUUUGUGAAGGUGCUGCAUGGUUGUCGU
rnacentral:rRNA from 1 species